ACAGGAAAGAGAAACCGCAAUAGUGACCUAAUAUAUUCUAUUUUUAUAAUCUUCAUAUUUUUGUAGUUAACCUGUUUAUGAGAUGCUGGGUUUUUUUUUCACUCAACAGACCUGCAGCCUGCUUAUAUCCAGGUGAAAUCUACAGCUGUUCUGUUCUGUUUUGUUGGUUUUUUUUUUUUCCUUCUCUAUAUUCCAAAACCAUUCCAUUUCAAAGCACUUUCAGUCUCUAGGUGACAUCUCUGCUUCUGUGGUGUGUGGAGGGCGGGGAACAGUUUCCAAAUGGAAUGGUUUGGGGAUAUUCCAGUACUAGGGUGCAGACAGGACGCAAGGCAGGUGCUUGUCACUGUGGUGUUAGCGGAAGGGGGUGGUGAUACUUUGGAGGACUAGGUUCUGGUCGAGGAGAAGAAAGUGUGCAUUCAUUCUUCACGUUGCCAGGAUGGUGUGUUCCUUUCCUUUUCUGUAGAGAAGCUGAAGUUUAGGAAUCCUUCAGUGCCAACUGGUGUUUGAAAGUAGAGGCCUUAAAGGUUUGCCUAGAGAACCAGCAGUUUCAGAGUUAACUUUAGAUGUUUUGCAACGGAAGGUUUUUAAACACUAAAAUAUAUAAUUUAUAGUUAAGGCUAAAAAAGAAUAUUUAUUGCAGAGGGUGUUUGUAAGGCCAGUAUGAUUUAUAAAGUAAUGCAAUCUCCCCUUGAUUUAGACAAGUUCAGUUCUAAUACGAUCUCUGACCCCUCCUUUCAUAAAAAAAACUUAGCAACCGAUAGGUAAUUUGCACAUCUUGGCUGUGUACCUUUUUGUAAUUAUCCUGUAGGGAGAGUGUGAAGGGAGCAAGGAGGUGAGAGUGG
rnacentral:lncRNA from 1 species